AAAUUGAAGAGUUUGAUCAUGGCUCAGAUUGAACGCUGGCGGCAGGCCUAACACAUGCAAGUCGAACGGUAACAGGAAGAAGCUUGCUUCUUUGCUGACGAGUGGCGGACGGGUGAGUAAUGUCUGGGAAACUGCCUGAUGGAGGGGGAUAACUACUGGAAACGGUAGCUAAUACCGCAUAACGUCGCAAGACCAAAGAGGGGGACCUUCGGGCCUCUUGCCAUCGGAUGUGCCCAGAUGGGAUUAGCUAGUAGGUGGGGUAACGGCUCACCUAGGCGACGAUCCCUAGCUGGUCUGAGAGGAUGACCAGCCACACUGGAACUGAGAUACGGUCCAGACUCCUACGGGAGGCAGCAGUGGGGAAUAUUGCACAAUGGGCGCAAGCCUGAUGCAGCCAUGCCGCGUGUAUGAAGAAGGCCUUCGGGUUGUAAAGUACUUUCAGCGGGGAGGAAGGGAGUAAAGUUAAUACCUUUGCUCAUUGACGUUACCCGCAGAAGAAGCACCGGCUAACUCCGUGCCAGCAGCCGCGGUAAUACGGAGGGUGCAAGCGUUAAUCGGAAUUACUGGGCGUAAAGCGCACGCAGGCGGUUUGUUAAGUCAGAUGUGAAAUCCCCGGGCUCAACCUGGGAACUGCAUCUGAUACUGGCAAGCUUGAGUCUCGUAGAGGGGGGUAGAAUUCCAGGUGUAGCGGUGAAAUGCGUAGAGAUCUGGAGGAAUACCGGUGGCGAAGGCGGCCCCCUGGACGAAGACUGACGCUCAGGUGCGAAAGCGUGGGGAGCAAACAGGAUUAGAUACCCUGGUAGUCCACGCCGUAAACGAUGUCGACUUGGAGGUUGUGCCCUUGAGGCGUGGCUUCCGGAGCUAACGCGUUAAGUCGACCGCCUGGGGAGUACGGCCGCAAGGUUAAAACUCAAAUGAAUUGACGGGGGCCCGCACAAGCGGUGGAGCAUGUGGUUUAAUUCGAUGCAACGCGAAGAACCUUACCUGGUCUUGACAUCCACGGAAGUUUUCAGAGAUGAGAAUGUGCCUUCGGGAACCGUGAGACAGGUGCUGCAUGGCUGUCGUCAGCUCGUGUUGUGAAAUGUUGGGUUAAGUCCCGCAACGAGCGCAACCCUUAUCCUUUGUUGCCAGCGGUCCGGCCGGGAACUCAAAGGAGACUGCCAGUGAUAAACUGGAGGAAGGUGGGGAUGACGUCAAGUCAUCAUGGCCCUUACGACCAGGGCUACACACGUGCUACAAUGGCGCAUACAAAGAGAAGCGACCUCGCGAGAGCAAGCGGACCUCAUAAAGUGCGUCGUAGUCCGGAUUGGAGUCUGCAACUCGACUCCAUGAAGUCGGAAUCGCUAGUAAUCGUGGAUCAGAAUGCCACGGUGAAUACGUUCCCGGGCCUUGUACACACCGCCCGUCACACCAUGGGAGUGGGUUGCAAAAGAAGUAGGUAGCUUAACCUUCGGGAGGGCGCUUACCACUUUGUGAUUCAUGACUGGGGUGAAGUCGUAACAAGGUAACCGUAGGGGAACCUGCGGUUGGAUCACCUCCUUA
rnacentral:rRNA from 1 species